rnacentral:lncRNA from 1 species
AUGGCUCACACUCAAGACCUGCAACAUGCAGGAUCUGUGGUCGUAAGCUAGUAGGUACACUGUGACCCAUUAUAAAUCCAACAUAGGCCUUCUGAAAGCAACUUGGAAGGAGGAUCGGUGAGAAGCUUAAAUACAUUUAAUCAAGCAUUCUUGUCUGCUAACUUCAAAAGGGAGCCAAACAUGGAGGACAUUUGUGGAGAUUCAGCAUGCAGGAGGCUUAAGAUAUCUUAUGACAGUUUGCUUGAGUAUGUAGCAUUCCUAAAUGUUAGGAGUAUCUAAUGAAGUCUGAAGAAGCCUGGAGGAAAAAUGGAUGCUACCUUAAUUUAAUCACCAACAAGGUUCAGAUCAACAGAUUGAAAGAUUGGUUGCAAAGACCAGAUACAGAACAGAAGAUGAAAACUGCACAAAGAGAACACACAUUUGAAUUGCUGUGCAGGUGUUUGCUAUUUAAUGUUCCUUUCAGUCUGAAUCUGUUUGUAUCUACCUGCCUACAGAUGCUUUAA